UACGAAGGGGGCUAGCGUUGCUCGGAAUCACUGGGCGUAAAGGGUGCGUAGGCGGGUCUUUAAGUCAGAGGUGAAAGCCUGGAGCUCAACUCCAGAACUGCCUUUGAUACUGAGGAUCUCGAGUUCGGGAGAGGUGAGUGGAACUGCGAGUGUAGAGGUGAAAUUCGUAGAUAUUCGCAAGAACACCAGUGGCGAAGGCGGCUCACUGGCCCGAUACUGACGCUGAAGCACGAAAGCGUGGGGAGCAAACAGG
rnacentral:rRNA from 1 species